UGGAGGGCAAGUCUGGUGCCAGCAGCCGCGGUAAUUCCAGCUCCAAUAGCGUAUAUUAAAGUUGUUGCAGUUAAAAAGCUCGUAGUUGAACCUUGGGUCUGGCUGGCCGGUCCGCCUCACCGCGAGUACUGGUCCGGCUGGACCUUUCCUUCUGGGGAACCUCAUGGCCUUCACUGGCUGUGGGGGGAACCAGGACUUUUACUGUGAAAAAAUUAGAGUGUUCAAAGCAGGCCUUUGCUCGAAUACAUUAGCAUGGAAUAAUAGAAUAGGACGUGUGGUUCUAUUUUGUUGGUUUCUAGGACCGCCGUAAUGAUUAAUAGGGAUAGUCGGGGGCGUCAGUAUUCAGCUGUCAGAGGUGAAAUUCUUGGAUUUGCUGAAGACUAACUACUGCGAAAGCAUUCGCCAAGGAUGUUUUCAUUAAUCAGGGAACGAAAGUUAGGGGAUCGAAGACGAUCAGAUACCGUCGUAGUCUUAACCAUAAACUAUGCCGACUAGGGAUCGGACGGGAUUCUAUGAUGACCCGUUUGGCACCUUACGGGAAAC
rnacentral:rRNA from 1 species